rnacentral:piRNA from 1 species
UUAUACAGUAUAUUUUUUUAAUCAUUUGA